rnacentral:rRNA from 1 species
CCUACGGGAGGCAGCAGUGGGGAAUAUUGGACAAUGGGGGAAACCCUGAUCCAGCGACGCCGCGUGAGUGAAGAAGUAUUUCGGUACGUCAAGCUCUAUCAGCAGGAAAGAAAAUGACGGUACCUGACUAAGAAGCCCCGGCUAACUACGUGCCAGCAGCCGCGGUAAUACGUAGGGGGCAAGCGUUAUCCGGAUUUACUGGGUGUAAUGGGAGCGUAGACGGCGGCGCAAGUCUGGAGUGAAAUGCCGGGGCCCAACCCCGGAACUGCGCUGGAACCUGUGAAGCUUGAGUGCAGGAGAGGUAAGCGGAAUUCCUGGUGUAGCGGUGAAAUGCGUAGAUAUCAGGAGGAACACCGGCGGCGAAGGCGGCUUACUGGACUGUAACUGACGUUGAGGCUCGAAGGCGUGGGGAGCAAACAGGAUUAGAUACCCUGGUAGUC